ACUGUUGUGGCCGAGUGGUUAAGGCGAUGGACUUAAGCUCAAUUGUCAGCGUGGGUUCAAAUCCUACCAACAGUA